rnacentral:rRNA from 1 species
GACGUAGGGCGCGAGCGUUGUCCGGAUUUAUUGGGCGUAAAGAGCUCGUAGGCGGUUUGUCGCGUCGUUCGUGAAAACUCACAGCUUAACUGUGAGCUUGCGGUCGAUACGGGCAGGCUAGAGUUCGGUAGGGGAGACUGGAAUUCCUGGUGUAGCGGUGAAAUGCGCAGAUAUCAGGAGGAACACCGGUGGCGAAGGCGGGUCUCUGGGCAGUAACUGACGCUGAGGAGCGAAAGCGUGGGGAGCGAACAGG